rnacentral:rRNA from 1 species
AUACGGAGGAUCCGAGCGUUAUCCGGAUUUAUUGGGUCUAAAGGGAGCGUAGGCGGACGCCUAAGUCAGUUGUGAAAGCCCCGGGCUCAACCUGGGAAUUGCAUUCAAGACUGGUUAGGUAGAGUCUCGUAGAGGGGGGUAGAAUUCCAUGUGUAGCGGUGAAAUGCGUAGAGAUAUGGAGGAAUACCGGUGGCGAAGGCGGCCCCCUGGACGAAGACUGACGCUCAGGUGCGAAAGCGUGGGGAGAAAACAGGAUUAUAUACCCUGGUAGUCCACGCCGUAAACGAUGAAUGCUAGGUGUAGGGGGUAUCGACUCCCUCUGUGCCGCAGUUAACACAAUAAGUAUUCCGCCUGGGGAGUACGGCCUCAAGGUGGAAACUCAAAGGAAUUGACGGGG